rnacentral:rRNA from 1 species
UCCACAGCUUAUACGUGAACCAUCGAAUCUUUGAACGCAAAGCACUAUCCGAACGWCACCCCCGUGAUAGGUAUGCCCCAUUGAGCGUUAUUUGUCCAUUCAGACACCACUGUGUUGACUCACUUUGGUGGAUGAGUUCGAGGUUCACACUUCAAUGCGUUCCUUGAGAUUCAUUAGCAACCGAAAUCGUAAUUGGUGUCCAUCCUGUGAUGAUUUUGCAGGCCAAGGCCCGGUUGGUUGGUGCUGAUAGCUGCCUUAGCUGGCAAAAAUGGUGCUCGCACCCUCAUUCUGUACAUAACCUCAGUGGGGUAGGAUUACCCGCUAGACUUAAGCAUAUUAAUCAGCGGAGGAAAAGAAACUAACAAGGAUUCCCCUAGUAACUGCGAGUGAAGAGGGAAUAGCUCAACGUGUGAAUCUGUCCGGGAGUAACCCCUGGUUCAGAGUUGUGCACUGUAGACGUCGGUUUCUGCGCUUGAAUUCCAGUUGUCAGUCCCAAGUCGGAUGAAACACCGCACCACAGAAGGUCAUAGCCCUGUGUCUGACUGUGCUUGAAUUUGCGCCAAUGACCGCACGUUCGUCGAGUCGCGUAGUUUUGUAAUGCUGCGCCAAUUGGGAGGUGGAACCCUUCUAAAGCUAAAUAUCAUGACGUGACCGAUAGCAAACAAGUACCGCGAGGGAAAGGUGAAAAGCAACCAUGUAGAAUGCGUUGAAACAGCAGUGAAAGUGCUACUGGGAUAAGGGCUAUUGAGUGCUAGUCUUUUGGUAGCGUGCUUUAGUGCUGCUCCAGGAGCGGCCUGCGUUGAUUGGAACUGGGAGACAUGCUCGGGGUUGAAUUCGGCCAAUGGCUUGCCACUGGUGUUGUAGCUCCCCGAAGAGUUGAGCCCAGAACCGAUCAAAGAUGCUUUACGGCGUGCAGGUCCUGCGAUCAUUAGCCGCCCGUCUUGAAACACGGACCAAGGAGUGCACCUUACAUGCGAGUCGAAGGGACUGUAAUCCCCGAGGCGUAGCGAAAGCGAAGACCGUGAAUGUCCUUGAGGCAGGCGACGGCGCCCACCGAGAGGUGAGGUAGAGCAUGCAGGGUGCGACCCGAAAGAUGGUGAACUAUGCUCGGGCAAGGUGAAGCCAGUGGAAACGCUGGUGGAGGCCG